rnacentral:rRNA from 1 species
AGAGUUUGAUCAUGGCUCAGGAUGAANNCUAGCGGCAGGCUUAACACAUGCAAGUCGAGGGGUAUAGGUUUUCGGACCUAGAGACCGGCGCACGGGUGCGUAACGCGUAUGCAAUCUACCUUUUACAGAGGGAUAGCCCAGAGAAAUUUGGAUUAAUACCUCAUAGUAUUAUUGAAUGGCAUCAUUUAAUAAUUAAAGUCACAACGGUAAAAGAUGAGCAUGCGUCCCAUUAGCUUGUUGGUAAGGUAACGGCUUACCAAGGCAACGAUGGGUAGGGGUCCUGAGAGGGAGAUCCCCCACACUGGUACUGAGACACGGACCAGACUCCUACGGGAGGCAGCAGUGAGGAAUAUUGGUCAAUGGGCGCAAGCCUGAACCAGCCAUGCCGCGUGCAGGAUGACGGUCCUAUGGAUUGUAAACUGCUUUUGUACAGGAAGAAACAGUUCUACGUGUAGAACCUUGACGGUACUGUAAGAAUAAGGAUCGGCUAACUCCGUGCCAGCAGCCGCGGUAAUACGGAGGAUCCAAGCGUUAUCCGGAAUCAUUGGGUUUAAAGGGUCCGUAGGCGGUUUUGUAAGUCAGUGGUGAAAGCCCAUCGCUCAACGGUGGAACGGCCAUUGAUACUGCAAGACUUGAAUUAUUAGGAAGUAACUAGAAUAUGUAGUGUAGCGGUGAAAUGCUUAGAUAUUACAUGGAAUACCAAUUGCGAAGGCAGGUUACUACUAAUGGAUUGACGCUGAUGGACGAAAGCGUGGGGAGCGAACAGGAUUAGAUACCCCAGUAGUCC